UACAGAGGUCUCAAGCGUUGUUCGGAUUCAUUGGGCGUAAAGGGUGCGUAGGUGGCGCCGUAAGUCAGGUGUGAAAUCUCGGGGCUCAACCCCGAAACUGCACUUGAUACUGCGGUGCUCGAGUACUGGAGAGGAGAUUGGAAUUUACGGUGUAGCGGUGAAAUGCGUAGAUAUCGUAAGGAAGACCAGUGGCGAAGGCGGGUCUCGUGGACAGUUCCUGACGCUGAGGCACGAAGGCCCAGGGGGAGCAAACGGG
rnacentral:rRNA from 1 species